CCUACGGUGGGCUGCAGUGGGGAAUAUUGGACAAUGGGCGAAAGCCUGAUCCAGCCAUGCCGCGUGUGUGAAGAAGGCCUUCGGGUUGUAAAGCACUUUCAGUGGGGAAGAAAGCCUUGGGGCUAAUACCCUCGAGGAAGGACAUCACCCACAGAAGAAGCACAGGCUAACUCCGUGCCAGCAGCCGCGGUAAUACGGAGGGUGCGAGCGUUAAUCGGAAUUACUGGGCGUAAAGCGCGCGUAGGCGGUCUGAUAAGCCGGUUGUGAAAGCCCCGGGCUCAACCUGGGAACGGCAUCCGGAACUGUCAGGCUUGAGUGCAGGUGAGGAAGGUAGAAUUCGCGGUGUAGCGGUGAAAUGCGUAGAGAUCGGGAGGAAUACCAGUUGCGAAGGCGGCCUUCUGGACUGACACUGACGCUGAGGUGCGAAAGCGUGGGUAGCAAACAGGAUUAGAUACCCCUGUAGUC
rnacentral:rRNA from 1 species